AAUUAUUAACCAUAUCAAACAUAUUUCAUAUUAUUCUUAACAUGCAAAACUUUCAUAUUUCAGGUAAGAUACCUUCUUGCCUUGGAGGGGGUCCAUACAUAAAUAAAUAAAAUCAUUAAGAGACAUAGGAAUGCUUUGAAAAAAAUUUGUCUGUGCUCGACGAACCUACAGUAGCAAGUUCUAAAUAUUAGAAUGCAAGUCUAUGUCCAAUCUUUCAAUGAGAAAGCUUGACACUCAAUCAUGUAUAACUAUAAAAUUUCCACAGUGAUUGAAAAAGAUGUAGAAAGAGACAAAUGAGCAUAUGAGUGGCUACUGAUUAUAACAUCACUAAUUGGAACUCCAAGACUUUGAAUGCUAUUUUCUCAUUUUUAGAUGCUAAUUAAUUUCGUUUCAUAUCUAUUUGCAAGGUGGCUAAAGAGGCUUGGGAUAUUUUGCAAAUUGCUUAUGAAGGGACCUCGAUUGUAAAUUCUUCUAAAUUUCAAAUGUUGACACUUGAAUUUGAGAAAUGAUGAGCACUUCAAAGACUUCUACGCUAAAUUAAGUGGCAUCACCAACUUGGCCUACAUCUGAGGAAAGAAAUACUCAGAAAGUAAAAUUGUGAUCAUUACCUGAUAGUUUCCACUCUAAAUAAUCCCUAUCGAAAAAGCAAGGACAUAGAAACUAUGAAAGAUGAAGAAUUAGUAGGAUCAUCCAGAAGAAGGAAGAAGGAAAAAUGGAUCUGGAAUAGCUUUUAAAGCCAAGGAGGUUGAGAUAGAUGAAGAAGAUGAUGAACAUGAAAAUGAUGAGCAGAUGGCCAUGUUCCCUAAACAAUAUGGGAAAUUCCGAAUGGACAAUCGAAAAUGAAAAAGCGCAAGACCUCAACGACUACAAAAAAAGAAACUCUUUGAAAAUGCAAGGUAAAAUCCUACUGCAUCUAUGGAGGAACUUAAACUUGUAUCAAAUGCUUAGAAUGUGAAGGACAUGGACAUAUAGUAUUCGAGUGUGCCAAUGCACUGAAAAAGUUUCAUGUAAAGAAGGCCAUGAUUAUUACUUGGAGUGAAGAAGAUGAAAGAAAAUCAGAUUCAGACGAUGAAGACAUAACCAUUGAUAACCGAGAAACUUCUCUAACUGUCCAUCUUCAGUCUAAUACAUCACAACUGUUGCCUGCAGGUUAGAACCUACUAAAUACAGAUGUCGUUGGAACCAUCAAUAUGUGUUCAGAAUGUAAAAUACUUAAAAGAGAUCUGCAAGCUGAUCAAGAAAUAAAUGUCAUUCUUCCUUCCAAGAUAGAGUUCGUUGAAAAAGAAAGAGCUGUCAUUUUUGCUGAAGAAGAAGUCCUCACCAAAUUCUCAGCAAAGAAAGAAAAUCAAAUAUUGGAACUUCUGGCUGAACUAGACUAUAUCAAGAAAAGAGUUAGGCAGUUGACCGUCAGAUUCGCUCGCCUAAAUGAAGUUCUCAGCUAUGGAAUAACCAAAAACAUCAAAGAAUGUUUAGAUUAUAUAGGAAGAGGAAAAUAGAAAUAAUCCACCCAGUUGAAGUUCAUUAAAGCUGUAGGAUCUGUAAAAUUGCAAAGUCAGCAGCAUAAAUUUGUUAUCAGAGUGCUAGAUAGACCUACAAUGAGUAGGACAGUUCCACUGACAAACAAUCU
rnacentral:lncRNA from 1 species